AGUGGUUGAGCAUUUGGCUGCUAACCAAAAGGCCAGUGGUUUGAAUCCACCAGCCGCUU
rnacentral:tRNA from 1 species